UGGAGUCGACUCGGAACUAUCGGGGGUCGACUCGGCAAGCAUCGGAGUCGACUCGAAUUCUUCAGGAAUCGACUCGGUGACAGGGUCUGAGAUUCAUCCUUCUGUCCUGUUGUCAGUUCUCAGUCGGAGUCGACUCGUAGUGUGCCGGAGUCGACUCGAGUCUGUGCCAGAGCUUCUGAAACACUUGGAGUCGACUCGUAAUCUUCCGGAGUCGACUCGCGUUCCAGACUUUGGUUCAAACUGAGUUCCAUACUUAGCCAAAAUGUAUUGAACCAAGGCUAGAGAUAAUUAAACCUAAAUUCACAAAUAUUUGGCUGAAACACUAGAUUGAAUUCAUUAGUAUAACAUAAGAUAUACUCAAAUGCUUUGAGCUCAUCAAAAUAAAAUAGGGUUAUAAUCAAUCACUCCACAAUCUUCCCCUUUUUGAUGAUGACAAAACAUUGAGUAUUUGUAAAGUGAAUUGCUCAACCAAAAAGAAGAUUUAUA
rnacentral:lncRNA from 1 species